AUUGAACGCUGGCGGCAGGCCUAACACAUGCAAGUCGAGCGGAUGAAGGGAGCUUGCUCCUGGAUUCAGCGGCGGACGGGUGAGUAAUGCCUAGGAAUCUGCCUGGUAUUGGGGGAUAACGUCCGGAAACGGGCGCUAAUACCGCAUACGUCCUUAGGUAGAACGUGGGGGAUCUUCGGACCUCACGCUAUUAGAUGAGCCUAGGUCGGAUUAGCUAGUUGGUGGGGUAAAGGCCUACCAAGGCGACGAUCCGUAACUGGUCUGAGAGGAUGAUCAGUCACACUGGAACUGAGACACGGUCCAGACUCCUACGGGAGGCAGCAGUGGGGAAUAUUGGACAAAGGGCGAAAGCCUGAUCCAGCCAUGCCGCGUGUGUGAAGAAGGUCUUCGGAUUGUAAAGCACUUUAAGUUGGGAGGAAGGGCAGUAAGUUAAUACCUUGCUGUUUUGACGUUACCAACAGAAUAAGCACCGGCUAACUUCGUG
rnacentral:rRNA from 1 species